GAUGAACGCUGGCGGCGUGCCUAAUACAUGCAAGUCGAGCGAACAGACGAGGAGCUUGCUCCUCUGACGUUAGCGGCGGACGGGUGAGUAACACGUGGAUAACCUACCUAUAAGACUGGGAUAACUUCGGGAAACCGGAGCUAAUACCGGAUAAUAUAUUGAACGGCAUGGUUCAAUAGUGAAAGACGGUUUUGCUGUCACUUAUAGAUGGAUCCGCGCCGCAUUAGCUAGUUGGUAAGGUAACGGCUUACCAAGGCAACGAUGCGUAGCCGACCUGAGAGGGUGAUCGGCCACACUGGAACUGAGACACGAUCCAGACUCCUACGGGAGGCAGCAGUAGGGAAUCUUCCGCAAUGGGCGAAAGCCUGACGGAGCAACGCCGCGUGAGUGAUGAAGGUCUUCGGAUCGUAAAACUCUGUUAUUAGGGAAGAACAAAUGUGUAAGUAACUAUGCACGUCUUGACGGUACCUAAUCAGAAAGCCACGGCUAACUACGUG
rnacentral:rRNA from 1 species